GAUCAUGGCUCAGGACGAACGCUGGCGGCGCGCCUAACACAUGCAAGUCGAACGGAGUUUACAGGUGGAAGUUUUCGGAUGGAAGCUUGUAAACUUAGUGGCGGACGGGUGAGUAACACGUGAGCAACCUGCCUAUCAGAGGGGGAUAACGAUUGGAAACGAUCGCUAAUACCGCAUGACAUAGCGGAACCGCAUGGUUCUGUUAUCAAAGAUUUUAUCGCUGAUAGAUGGGCUCGCG
rnacentral:rRNA from 1 species